UACGGGGGGGGGCGAGCGUUUGUUCGGAUUUAUUGGGCGUAAAGAGCGCGCAGGCGGUCGUGCAAGUCGCGUGUGAAAGCCCCCGGCUCAACUGGGGAGGGUCACGCGAUACUGCUCGACUCGAAGGCAGGAGAGGGAAGUGGAAUUCCCGGUGUAGUGGUGAAAUGCGUAGAUAUCGGGAGGAACACCAGUGGCGAAGGCGACUUCCUGGCCUGUUCUUGACGCUGAGGCGCGAAAGCUAGGGGAGCAAACGGG
rnacentral:rRNA from 1 species